GGGGGCGUAAUGGUUUCGACGGGGUUGUUGAGACCGAAGAAGCGGGUAGAGGAUUCUCGUUGGCCUCUUAAAAAAACGGGAAAUGCAAGUAAUUGCAGACAAGAAUACACAACUCGUAGCUGCUUAAGUCAGCUAUGCAUCCUUCCGUCCGAUCUGCUGGACGGGCCUUGGAUGUCAGAUAGCAGACCUUACCUGUCGGCAGGAUAAACAGGGAAACGCCGCGUGAUAAGCUUUGCCAACGCGAUGUAAUUAUGAAGCUACCGGACGCAUCGGCCUGUCAGCGGGCUUGAUGAACAGGGGAAUACUCUAAUCACUGACUGCACCCGGAGACGCUUCGGUGGAAAUGGUUUCGGACAGGAGUUCGACUCUCCUCGCCUCCACCA
rnacentral:tmRNA from 1 species